AGCGAACGCUGGCGGCAGGCCUAACACAUGCAAGUCGAACGAACUCUUCGGAUUUAGUGGCGGACGGGUGGUUAACCCGUGGGAACGUGCCUUUUGGUUCGGAGUAACUCAGGGAAACUUGUGCUAAUACCGAAUGUGCCCUUCGGGGGAAAGAUUUAUCGCCCUUAGAGCGGCCCACGUCUGAUUAGCUUGUUGGUGAGGUAACCGCUCACCAAGGCGACGAUCAGUAGCUGGUCGGAGAGGAUGACAAACCACACUGGGACUGAGACACGGCCCAGACGCUUACGGGAGGCAGCAAUGGAGAAUCUUGCGCAAUGGGCCAAAGCCUGACGAAGCCAUGCCGGGUGAAUGAUGAAAGUCGUAGGAUUGUAAAAUACUUUCGCCGGGGACGAAAAUGACGGUACCCGGAGAAGAAGCCCCGGCUAACUUCGUG
rnacentral:rRNA from 1 species